CCAACGGCUCUUUUAAGAGCCACCCACGUUGUCCUAAAAAGAACUG
rfam:Cathartes aura contig84620, whole genome shotgun sequence.